rnacentral:rRNA from 1 species
UACGUAGGGGGCUAGCGUUGUCCGGAAUCAUUGGGCGUAAAGCGCGUGUAGGCUGCCUUGUAAGUCGGAUGUGAAAGCCCCGGGCUCAACCCGGGAAGUGCACCCGAUACUACAAGGCUGGAGUCUCGGAGAGGUUGGUGGAAUUCUCGGUGUAGAGGUGAAAUUCGUAGAUAUCGAGAGGAACACCAGUGGCGAAGGCGGCGAUCUGGGUUGAUACUGACGCUGAGGUGCGAAAGCGUGGGGAGCAAACAGG